AAGUCGUAACAAGGUUUCCGUAGGUGAACCUGCGGAAGGAUCAUUAUUGAAUUAGCGAGGGCUGUCUGCUGGCCCCUUCGGGGGCAUGUGCACGUCCGAGCCGUUUAAAUCAACACCUGUGAACUCACCGUAGGCCUUCGGGCUUAUGUAUCAUAAUAUACUCAGAUCAUAGAAUGUAUGUUUUGCCUUUAAAAAAAGCAAUCAAAUACAACUUUCAACAACGGAUCUCUUGGCUCUC
rnacentral:misc_RNA from 1 species